rnacentral:tRNA from 2 species
GUGAAUAUGGCGAAGGGGUCAACGCAUCGGGUUGUGGUUCCGACAUUCGCGGGUUCGAAUCCCGUUAUUCACCCCA